rnacentral:lncRNA from 1 species
GCGCGCUCUCUGCAGAAAAGGAUUUUCUACGCUCCCCGCCCAUCACUUGGAUCUCGUCUGGGGAGGGGCGGAUUUUUUUUCUGGAAGUACCCUUCUUCUCCACGGUGGAGGAUUUAAGGCUGGGCUCCAAUCGAGGCGGAGGCUGCAGGGCCCGCGGGGCGCCCCCCGCCCGGCGCACGCCUGCCCGGAGCCCGGGAAGGCGCAGCCCUGGGUGGGGGGGCCCGUGCACCCCCGGAGGCGGCAGCGGCGGUGAGUGCUCCCCUUCUUCCCGCCUGGCACCUUCCGCCAGCCAAGGCAGGGAUCGCGGCAGAUAAACCUGCCAGUAAUUUCAGCAAAUGAAACGUGGAACACGUCAAGGCCAGAGGAUGGAAAAGGCUCCAGUUUUGAUAAAAGGAGGCCUGCUUGGCUUGGAAUCCUCUCUCCUGCUGGUUGGGAGAUGCAAAGAUGUUUCCAGAGAGGGGCUGAUGAAUUGAGGGGAAAGAAAUGAGCCCAGUAUGAGUCCCCUUUCAGGGCUGAGCGUGUAUAAAACCAAACAACUUGGAACCGCUCCAAGAGAGGGGAUUAAAGCAACAUGUUAUUCUGAGUGAUUGCUUAAUUUAUUGAGCUGCGGCUGGAUCUGUAAUGAAAUACAGCCCUUGUAACUGAUAACCU